CAAAAACGGGAGGAAAUAAUCGUUCUACCAAUUUCUUAUUUGUGGCGAUAGUCGUCCUUGCGACGAGUAUUGUUAUCCAAGCUGGUCUGAUCGAAAAGCGUCGCUACGCUAAAGUCGAUCUAGCCAAAUGCAACAUCUUCAAUGUUGGAAAGCAAUUAGAGCCUGAAAAGAAGGGGGACUUGAUCACAUACUGUAACUGCACGCAAACCAUGAUUCUAAUUUUCAGAAAGCAGUGCGUAGAAUAUCAAGAGAUUUCGGAUGAUGAUAACACAACCUCGACUAGACAAGCGUCAUCCAGCACGACUGUGAGGACUUGGAGGCCACCAACUACAACCAGAGUCAGUUCUACUACUACGCAGAGAACUACUACAAGCUUCCCAACGUCUGAAAGAUCUACAACAACCUUCCCAACUUCAACAACAAGCUUUCCUACCUCUGAAAAGUCAACGACAAGUUUCCCAACCACUGAGGAACCUACAGAUUUCACGACGACCACACACUAGCUGCGACCACGCAACCACCAGUCACCAGUAGUGAGAGCUGUACGCCGCGCGGUCCGGGAGGGCUUCGUUCCGCUCUCCCAUGAUGAAAGAGCAGAUCUUCGUCCAAGGCCACUGGUACAAUAAGGACGGUACAACCAACAAAGGCUUCGAAACAUCGCAAAAUGUCGCCUCAGCACAAUCUGCCUUUGAGCAGUGCAAGUAUCACGACAAUUCUACUGGCUGUGAUAAAAAGUGGUCUCAGCGAUACUGGGUCAACAUGCAAUACUAUAAGCCCGGAGGUCCCAUAUUUUUAGAAAUUGCAGGGGAAUGGGAUGCGGAGCACGAUAUUAAUGGUGGCUACUGGUAUAACUAUGCCAACAGAUAUAACGCAAUGCUGGUUGUGUUAGAGCAUAGAUUCUACGGACAAAGUUCCCCCGUUAACAAUCCGAAUGUGAGCGAUCUUUGUUUAAUGACUAGUCAGCUGGCACUAGCAGAUGCUGCUUAUUUCAUUGACGUUUAUUCGGCUCAGAACCAGCUACAGGAUGCUGAUUGGGUUUCAUUUGGUUGUUCGUACAGGGCAAAUUUAGCCGCUUGGAUGAAACUUAAAUACCCCAACCACGUGAAGGCUGCUGUGUCGUCUUCCGGACCAGUUGAAGCGGUUUACGACUAUCUUGGUGAUUUAAAGUAAUCGAUUGGUCAUCAUUUGUACUAAUUUGUCCCGUUAAACCUUAGGGUACACUCGGUGGUUUCUGAAGUCAUCCGAGAAACAGAUCGAGGAUUCUUCGAUUACCUGAGCCAAACUUUCAGCUGUAUGGAGAGCUUAACCAAUGGAAGUAAGCCAAAUUGUGAAAAAUACACAUCAGGCCAACAGAUGCAGAAACCCAUCCAAUAUUGUAGAAGCGUAGAUUGGGCUGGAAACAGUUAUAGCAAGCAACAAUUUUAUAAUCAUCAGACAUUUCCUCCAUGGGCAAGUAAUUGGCCUGGUGGCAAGGCUAGGUUGGGCGUGGCAAACUUGCAAUGAAUUCGGUUUCUUUGUCUUCAGACCCAGAAUUAGGAACCUUUGGCAGGAAUACGUUCUCUGGAGACGUGUACGGUGCAGGAUGCAAGAAGUUUGGGACAAAGUAUACACUAAAAUAUGUUGAAGGUCAAAUUGCUAAAUCCAAUGCGUAUUAUGGUGGUAAAAAUUUUAACUCCAAGUGCGUUAUUUUCGUCCAUGGAACUUGGGACCCGUGGCAUACUCAAGGAGUUACCACACCAAAAGCGUAUAACACUGUUGUACUUGUUCCAGGAACUGCGCAUUGUUCAGAUACUUCGAAUCCAACGAAUGCCGCAAUGACUGCUGCACAGCAAACAAUCAUGACACAAAUUGGGACAUACUUAAAUGAUCCUAAUUGUUAAGGUGACACGGCUUGAAAAAUUAGUUUAUCAUCAAUAAAAAAUAAUAGUUUAUCAGCAUCAACACUGA